GUUGGAUUUUCCAGAGUCAGCUCUGGUGAGAGUUUGGUCAAAUCCAAGAGAUGACCUCCAUGCAGGUUCCACAGCCAGCUCCUCAUGGUUUCCAGUUAGCUCACAGCCUCCAGUGUUUGCUGUUCUGAGCCAUUCAAGAAAAUGGUUACUUUCCCCAUUUCAAACACAUACAACAAUUCAGAUAAAAGUCAAAUCAUGAAGGAGUUGUAAUUUGCCAUUAGGAUUACCACGUAGGAAGCCUCAACAGGUUUAUAAAUAGUGCCAUGAAAACAAAAUAUGAAUCAGUGCACACCUGAGCUCAUCGUCCCAUGUGGAAGAACAUCAUACAGUGAUUUUCACUGCUCUUCUCUAGACCGUUUCUCUCACAUUUAUCCCUUCACUGCCACUCUCCACACAUACAGCAGGUAGGAGGCGUCAUUGAAACAGCAUUUUGUAGGAAUUAUCUUGUAGCAAAGCGCAGGCUGGGGGACUGGUCCCAUUUUCCUCAUCAAAGUCUAUUCUUCUGAAGUAAUUUGUUGAUAAAAAAAUCUCUUUCCCACUGUGAAUUAUAUGGACUUUUUCCUAAAAUAUAUAUAUAUUGUCUACACACAUCACUAUAGAUUUUUUUUUUCUCCUCUUGUCCACUGCACUGGAGAUGUGUGCUCCUACUAACGCCAAGCUUCGGCACAUAACAAUCCUUCCAGUAAGCCGAGCAAAAACAACAUUUCACUUGAAGCUGCUGGCAGCAUGGGACAGGGGGUAAGGUCUUUACCCAUUUCAGCCUCUUGGUAUGAGGAAGAAAAUUCUCUAGGGCUGAGGCCCUGUGCUGCCUCACAGCUUUCACACAAAGGAACUCGCUGCAGUUGCCUCCCAGCCCAGGAACCCUCCCUCCACCACAGCUCAGCCUCAGGCAGCGAGAAGGGCCCCAGUGUGCAGAUAACACUCCAGGACCCCAAAAAGCAGUUGUUGCCAAAAGUCCUGGGAGGGAGGGAGGGAGGAAGGAGGCAACCACAGAGCUAAACAACAAGCUGCUGCGUCUGCAGACUGCUGCCACGUGCAGACAUCUGGGAUGCAUCGCGUACCUUCUCCUGCUGGAGAGAGGGGAUGGAUGAUGUUUUUGGACACAAAGUGAGCUCAGAGGCGCUCUGCAGCUCCUAAAAGGGAACAAACAGCAAGUUACUGCACGUACAACAGGAACGGAGAGAGAGACGGGAGAAGGUUUUAUUGCGAGCCCCAUGUGAGGGCCUUGGGGGGCAUUCAAAACCUUCAUGACUAGAAGCAUCCCGUGCACGUGGGGAGGGAGGAGGCCGAUGAUGGGCUGAGACAGGCAGUCGCAGCGUGUUUGCUUUAGGAGGCUGCCCUGCAGAGGGGAAUGCCGCCAGGAGCGUGAGUACCUCGCCGGCUUGGCAGGCUGUGGCUGGUUCCUAGCUUUCGGAGAAAACAUUUCGGAAAAUGUCUGUUUAGAUUGCUCUUUAUUCUAGGUCUGCAUAAGUCAUGAAGAGAGGUGCGCAUAACUCCCCUCCUCAGCUGGCUUGUGGCAGAAACCCGAGGGAGCCCAGGAUCCUUCAGCCUCCAUCUGCAGAGACCACCGUCUGGAAGGCGCCUGGGCAGCAGCUGGUCCGUCCAUGGAGACACCUGCCAGGGCUGCACCACUCUCUGCUUAAUCCAGGGCACGAGGCAAGACUGGUAGAAGUCAUGGGAACUCACACCCUACAUGUAAGUACCGCCCAAAGGUCAGUUCCUUCUUUUUUUACAGAGUAAACCAACAAAUCCAGAAGUCUUCUUUUGUAGCCUGGUGGCUGGUGGCAACCGGGCAGGCUCCUCCUCACCAACAUCCCACAUGCUUCAGUUUUAGAAAGGCAAACAUAUACUAAAAUGCACUCGAAUAUAUACUUAUGCAUAGGAUUUAUUGUCAUUUCUAACAAAUAUUUCAAAUUCUUCAACAUAAUCUUUCCUUCCAAAUGAGAAUUCCUUCUCCAAGAGACAUCAGAGAGGUAAUGUAGCUUUUACAUGUGCAGUGAUAAAAUCAAUCUAAAAAUAUGCAGUGAUAUUAAGAGAAAAAUAUAUAUAUAUUAAAAUAAAAUUGCACUCUAACAUAUGCUGUGUUCCACUUUGAUAUACACUGGGCAUUUGACUAUAUAACAACAUUUCCUUAAAAGUUCUAAAAAUCAGCAAUGUGCUCAACAUACUUCCAGUCAAUAUUAAGUCUUUUAUUAGCUUCUGGCUCAAUGGAAGUCCACUCAUCUACAGGCAAAUGUUUUAAACAUGGCAAAAGAGCUCUUUGAAACUAUUUGUCAUCCUGUAAGGCUUUACUUUGCUGCUGCUUCUUUUUUUUUUUUUUCUCAUUUCUACCAUCAAAAGUAAGAGGGGUUUUCAUUUUAUUUUAGAGCAUUUCUCUGCAAUCUGUGAUUUGGUGAAAGCGUUAUGUGCUGUACAGCAUCGGAGCAUGAGAAAUAGUCACUCCACACCGGGUUAUAGCUGAUAAUAAAACCAUAAGAGGAGAGUGGGCUACCUUUAAGGAGGAACAAUAAAUAUAGCAGCUACCUUAGGCGGUGAGGGCCCUUGAGGUUCUUCUUAUGAGUGAAUAAUAAAUCUCCAGGGUCCACUGGAGACUACUUACAAAUAAAACUCCGCAGUCAGAGGAAAAAUGACUUUCCUCAGAAGUCUGUGAGAAAGAGGAGACGGAAAGCUAGCGCUGCGUGUGCGGGGGAAGCCCCCCAGGGCCGAGCAAGGAGGAAGGCAAAGGAGAGGGGUGAGAACAAAAUGUGCCUGGUUCGCUUUAUAGGCUUGGGAGGGAAUGUUGCCUGAAGUUAGGGCUGCAGACACUUGCUUUUACAAGGUUUUCGGGUGCUCCCUGUUUUUGAAAAUUAAAUUCUCUGAGUCAGUUUUUCUCACUUCAGGCGGUGACCUGAAGCCCAAAGCUCCCGGCUUGCUGCCUGCAGGGCGGUUCGAGCUGGCUCUUGCCCAAGCAGCCGCCUUUUGCUGGUGUCCCGUGGGGCUGCUGUCACACGGCCAUUCCCCUCGGGGCAGCGGGGCACACCACACCGCCUGCUGUGUCACGUUUCCUACCAAGGAGCCGUGGAACAACGCCCUGAAAUGUCCUACCACAUGGGACAGUCAUCGGCACCCCAGGACGAGGCAGGUGGCUUCUCCUGGCCUCCUCCCCCCGGUCCCUUUGUUUGGCUGGAGAUUUUGUGUAGCCUGUGCGUGGGGCGCACAGACAUAAAGGGCUGGGCUGGGCAAGGUUGUCCCCGUCUGUGCAGUGCCACCGUACGUGCAGCUGAAGUUGAGGACUCAACCAAAAGCUUCCUUUUUCAGGCAAACUGUCUCAGUGCGCCUUUAGCAGAAGAGGACUAGUUACAUGGCCCUGCCUAGGUUAAAUGUAUACGUAUAAAUGUAUAUAAAUGUUGCUGUUCCACUGAGGGCCAUGCCUGAGAUCAGGGUUACAGCUGGCCCGGCUGCAUGCAAGCAUCUGAAAACCAUCAUCCACUUGUGUCCAGCAGCAGCCGGCUGAGUCGUGGCAGCUGGCUGCUAAAUAGGACUUUGCUGGCAAGAAAACUUUGGGACUGAGCCAGAGGCACGCAGGGAACUGGACACAGCAGAGGUGUUCCCCGCAUGGCCUCCUCAUGCUGGGGCUGGCCGGCUGGGGCCUGCUGUGCAGAGGAGGAGGAGAAGGAGGAGGAGGAGCAGGAGCUGGGCAAUGCGCUGCAAGAAGCCGUGCAGUGGGAGCAGGAGUCUCACCGCAGAGGCAGGGCAGGGGCUGCCUUGCAGGCAGCAUUCAGCUGCCAAGCGAGGAAGGCAAACGCCCUCCCCUGCUGUCCCCGUCCGGUCACUGCCCACAGCAGCGAGGCGCAGCCAGCUCCAAAGUUUGCACUCCUGUGUCUUCACGUCUGCAGCCUUGAUGGCAACCCCUGGCAGCCUCUGCCCAGUGGUGCCCGUGUGCUGCUUGGUGCAGGUGGGGGAGGACCACUGCUCUGCAGCAAGGGCAGAUUCCAGGUGCGUAUGACAUGGCUUGCGCUGAAAUCCUUGCAAUGCACAAGCCGCCCUGUAAAGUUAGCCGCUUAGACGCGUUUUUCCCCAAAACCCAGCUAAAAGGACCCAGAAAGAUGUUCAAGGAUGGGGCAUCCCAAGUGCUACACUCGGUCUAGGGAGGCCAGCGGCCCCAGCCCCUGCCACAGGCUGCUCCCAAUAGUCGCCCUGCAGGCUCGGCUCCUCUGCUCGGUUUCUGCGCUCCCGGUGCUCCUGGCUCCAUCCCAGCAGGACCCAGCCCACGUGUGCCAGGCCUGUGGACAGGAAGGCUGCUGUCACCAUGUGACUGCGAUGGUGCCCAGAGGUGCAAACACAUUUAUACAAGGCAGUCUUGGCUGCAAAACUCCCUUCUAACAUACAGUAAGUCCCACUUGCAUUUAGUAACUCAUUUAGACCUAAUGCAACAGCCACAUUCAGUCACUCACGGACGAUUACCUGCAGAGUUAUGAUCCCUUUCAACUCAACGCCUCCUCCGCGUGUCGAGGUGACCCCUGUGCCAACCACCCCGCGGGCCCUUUUGUACUUAGGGGUGGGCGCCCUUCGGGGGGCUCUAGCCACUGUGGAGGUGCCGCAGGGGCGCUAACGGGGGGCUGCCUUCCAGGUCCAGGUGUGCGCACCGUGGCCUCCUGCGCCUCGCCUGCGUGUCGUGCCGUGCCUCGGGGGGGAGGAAGGCAGAAAUCCUCAGCUCAGACCUGAGCUUCAAUGGAGCCAGCGACCAGUCCCGCUCUCUGCUCGGCGCGUGGGAGGCCGGGGGGGUUAACGCCAGACUUAGACCCGCGUGGCUGAGCCCAGCCUCUGGGGCGCGAGUCCCGUUUUCUUCUAGCACCAGCUCAGCUUUAGUUGGGUCCGCUGCGUGCCCCCGGGCACGCCGAUGCAGGGUCGAUGCGCUUUACUUACGUCGGGGGGAAUGUUUUAGAUAUAUACUUUGCUUUCUUUUAAAGAAUUAUGUAAAAAAUAGAACAUUUCUCUCUAAUACUGUACAGCUUUCUUCAGAAGAGCAAAGGGAAUUAAUUGUAAACUGGGGGGGUGACACCAGAUUAGGAGUGCUAUUUGCUUUCUCAGCACAACAAUUUGAAGAAUCGCGUUUGGGAAAAGCUCUGUGAAAUGUAUUUGAAAAACAAAUUUUUAAUUAAAAUAACUGUUUCUAAAACCACCGCCGGCAGUACUCGUACGACUGAAAGCUGGUUUUGGCACUGCUAACCUAAGAGUCUCUGCAGGACAGCAAAGUAGUUUCCCUCUUAAACUGAAUGCACGAAAAGAUGAGCUCCGGAGUACGAACACUGAACACUUUGGUCAACUAUUACGCUUACUCGAGUGACUUUUGAAGAGAAAAGAAAGAAACUGGUUAAUAAUUUCGUCCACAGACUCUCAGCCUUGUUUUCUUCAGCGUGCCCCGCCAGAGGACAGGGACGGUGAGGUCUGCCCGCCUCGGUGCUGGGAGGCUCAGCUGGUACCACCUGGAGUGCUCCACAGCCCUCGGGCAUGGCUUAAGUGCAAGGCAUGACCCACGUUUAUGGUGGCCUCCAUCUCUUUUAUGAAAAUGACUACCGCUGGCAAGCACUCGGGCCAUGGUUUUAAUUAAAGUAUUUGUUUCCCAAUACAUCUUACUUUUUAAAGUUGA